rnacentral:rRNA from 1 species
GAUGAACGCUGGCGGCGUGCCUAAUACAUGCAAGUCGAGCGAACGGACGAGAAGCUUGCUUCUCUGAUGUUAGCGGCGGACGGGUGAGUAACACGUGGAUAACCUACCUAUAAGACUGGGAUAACUUCGGGAAACCGGAGCUAAUACCGGAUAAUAUUUUGAACCGCAUGGUUCAAAAGUGAAAGACGGUCUUGCUGUCACUUAUAGAUGGAUCCGCGCUGCAUUAGCUAGUUGGUAAGGUAACGGCUUACCAAGGCAACGAUGCAUAGCCGACCUGAGAGGGUGAUCGGCCACACUGGAACUGAGACACGGUCCAGACUCCUACGGGAGGCAGCAGUAGGGAAUCUUCCGCAAUGGGCGAAAGCCUGACGGAGCAACGCCGCGUGAGUGAUGAAGGUCUUCGGAUCGUAAAACUCUGUUAUUAGGGAAGAACAUAUGUGUAAGUAACUGUGCACAUCUUGACGGUACCUAAUCAGAAAGCCACGGCUAACUACGUACCAGCAGCCGCGGUAAUACGUAGGUGGCAAGCGUUAUCCGGAAUUAUUGGGCGUAAAGCGCGCGUAGGCGGUUUUUUAAGUCUGAUGUGAAAGCCCACGGCUCAACCGUGGAGGGUCAUUGGAAACUGGAAAACUUGAGUGCAGAAGAGGAAGGUGGAAUUCCAUGUGUAGCGGUGAAAUGCGCAGAGAUAUGGAGGAACACCAGUGGCGAAGGCGACUUUCUGGUCUGUAACUGACGCUGAUGUGCGAAAGCGUGGGGAUCAAACAGGAUUAGAUACCCUGGUAGUCCACGCCGUAAACGAUGAGUGCUAAGUGUUAGGGGGUUUCCGCCCCUUAGUGCUGCAGCUAACGCAUUAAGCACUCCGCCUGGGGAGUACGACCGCAAGGUUGAAACUCAAAGGAAUUGACGGGGACCCGCACAAGCGGUGGAGCAUGUGGUUUAAUUCGAAGCAACGCGAAGAACCUUACCAAAUCUUGACAUCCCUUGACAACUCUAGAGAUAGAGCCUUCCCCUUCGGGGGACAAAGUGACAGGUGGUGCAUGGUUGUCGUCAGCUCGUGUCGUGAGAUGUUGGGUUAAGUCCCGCAACGAGCGCAACCCUUAAGCUUAGUUGCCAUCAUUGAGUUGGGCACUCUAAGUUGACUGCCGGUGACAAACCGGAGGAAGGUGGGGAUGACGUCAAAUCAUCAUGCCCCUUAUGAUUUGGGCUACACACGUGCUACAAUGGACAAUACAAAGGGCAGCGAAACCGCGAGGUCAAGCAAAUCCCAUAAAGUUGUUCUCAGUUCGGAUUGUAGUCUGCAACUCGACUACAUGAAGCUGGAAUCGCUAGUAAUCGUAGAUCAGCAUGCUACGGUGAAUACGUUCCCGGGUCU